rnacentral:tRNA from 1 species
UGUGGUGUAGCUCAGUGGUAGGGUGGCUUGCCUAGCAUGCACAAGACCCUAGGUUCAAUACCCAGCACCACAA